AGAGUUUGAUCCUGGCUCAGAUUGAACGCUGGCGGCAGGCCUAACACAUGCAAGUCGAACGGUAACAGGAAACAGCUUGCUGUUUCGCUGACGAGUGGCGGACGGGUGAGUAAUGUCUGGGAAACUGCCUGAUGGAGGGGGGUAACUACUGGAAACGGUAGCUAAUACCGCAUAACGUCGCAAGACCAAAGAGGGGGACCUUAGGGCCUCUUGCCAUCGGAUGUGCCCAGAUGGGAUUAGCUAGUAGGUGGGGUAACGGCUCACCUAGGCGACGAUCCCUAGCUGGUCUGAGAGGAUGACCAGCCACACUGGAACUGAGACACGGUCCAGACUCCUACGGGAGGCAGCAGUGGGGAAUAUUGCACAAUGGGCGCAAGCCUGAUGCAGCCAUGCCGCGUGUAUGAAGAAGGCCUUCGGGUUGUAAAGUACUUUCAGCGGGGAGGAAGGGAGUAAAGUUAA
rnacentral:rRNA from 1 species